AAAAAUUUAAAUUUAAAUUUAAAUUUAAAUUUUAAGUUUUAUGAAGUGGGGUGCAAGAGGAACAGCGUUGGGACAACGUUGUUCCAGGAUGGGAUAGGAACUGUUGUUCCCAUCCUUAACUCGGUCUUAAUCAUUUUUUAUUUGGGUAUAAAACGUGGAAUAACCUCUUAUCCCACUCUUUAUGUCCCAACCAAACAGAGGCAUAACCAAACAGAGGCAUAAAGUGGAGGGCUAUAAUUUUUUGAUCCUAUGCCUAUAUCAAAUUUUUCACCAAGGUAGGGGAUCAGAAAUUAUAAUAAGAAGAUACAUGGAAAGGAUUAUAUUUAUAUAACGUAAAAAUAUAAAGAUUGGAAAAGUAAAAUGUCAGGUUUCUGAGGAAAUAUGAUUUUGAGGUGGUCACUUUGAGCAGUUUGUCUUGCGGAAUCAUCAAAUAUCGAUCUCCCUGUCUGAAAUUUGUCCUCAUGAAGUUGUACAUAUAAUUUACGACUAUUUUCUUGAGGAUAGAAGAGUCUUGUUUCGCCCUCACGUUGGCUUCUCCGACAAGGUAUACAACUCCUUUCUCGAGCUCCUUCUCGAUGAUUUGUUUCUCUUCUUCAAUUUCUCGGCUUUUCUCAAUAGAAAUUCGCUCGGAAGAGUGUGUUUCGUUCGACGAAAUAUUUUGUUCUAAUGUCUCCUCUAUGUGUAUAAUCGAAGAUCCUGAUCGUAGCUUUGUAUCAUUAAGCUCCUCACGCUGAACUUCACUUUGCCUAGGCGCCUCACUUUUCCAUAAGGGCAUCAAUGUAACCGUAUCGCACCACGCAGCGGUACAAUCUGAAAUCCCUCGGUUCAACUUGUCUGAAAAGAUAUCGUUCUGCUAUCUCAACACGAGGGAUUGGUACCUGUUUUAUCGAGACAAGAACGACGACCGAAUGAAUGGACGGUAUCUUUUCUAUGAAGUGUGAGAAUAUUGGUGGGACACCUUGCACGAGUUUGGAGUACAAGAGCCCGAUACCGGGUAUUCUUUGUAGGGUUUGUUUCCGAGCCAAUUCUCUCAUAUAGCCUCUUGAAACUAUAUUGCAAAGUUCGAACCUGUACUUCUUCACAUGUACAUAAUGCCAUAUGCCCAUCAUCAUCAUCAGAAUAAAUGCGAAGGCUAGCGGUAAGUAUCCGCCUUGCGCGAACUUGUACAGAACCGAAGAUAGAUACACUAACUCCACUCCGCGGAAUGCUAUCACAAAUAGUGUGAUCCACCAGAUGCUUGUUUUCCAUAUGAGAAGCAUUAUGAGUGCCACCAUGAAUGUUGUGAUCAGCAUCACAAAAACAACCGCGAUUCCUGCAAGAUUCGAAUGCAAAGCUUCUGUACAUAGAAAUCAUUGGACACCAAUUUGAUAUAGUUUAUUUUUGAAUGACUAUACCCUUAAAUUUGUUUAUGUCGUAACAGAGUUUUUCAUUACAAUGACAAAAAGAAUUAAUAAU